GAUGAACGCUAGCGGCAGGCUUAACACAUGCAAGUCGAGGGGCAGCAUAAACAUUGCUUGCAAUGUUUGAUGGCGACCGGCGCACGGGUGCGUAACGCGUAUGUAACCUACCUCAAACAGGGGCAUAACACUGAGAAAUUGGUACUAAUUCCCCCAUAACACCAGAUAGGGCAUCUCCUUUAGUUGAAAGUUCCGGCGGUUUGAGAUGGACAUGCGUUGUAUUAGCUAGAUGGUGAGGUAACGGCUCACCAUGGCGACGAUACAUAGGGGGACUGAGAGGUUAACCCCCCACAUUGGUACUGAGACACGGACCAAACUCCUACGGGAGCAGCAGUGAGAAUAUGGUCAAUGGACGCAAGUCUGAA
rnacentral:rRNA from 1 species